rnacentral:lncRNA from 1 species
UAUAAUUACACAUCUGAUGUGACAUUGUUAAAGUUUAAUACCACUUUCGCUACUAACGCACCUGGAGAGCCCCCCUCCGACCCCUUCUUCUACGGUUUGACCCGCGCGCCUUCGUUUUCCACUUUUCCUCUUCCCCGCUCGCUUCUUCCCCGUGCGCCGCCGGCCUCCGGCCUCCACGACGGCGGAUCCGUCGCUACCCCCGUCCGAUUUGCUCGCUGGCGGAUCGAUACUUCCCCAGCGCGCCCCAACAACCCUCCGCCCCCCCCCCCCCCCACCGG